AAAAAAGGUAAGCUACUAAGAGCGAAUGGUGGAUGCCUUGACUGGUAAAGGCGAUGAAGGACGUACUAGACUGCGAUAAGCUACGGGGAGCUGUCAAGAAGCUUUGAUCCGUAGAUUUCCGAAUGGGGCAACCCAAUGUAUAGAGAUAUACAUUACCUAUAUAGGAGCGAACGAGGGGAAUUGAAACAUCUUAGUACCCUCAGGAAAAGAAAUCAAUAGAGAUUGCGUCAGUAGCGGCGAGCGAAAGCGCAAGAGGGCAAACCCAGUGCUUGCACUGGGGGUUGUAGGACUGCAAUGUGCAAGAGGUGAGUUUAGCAGAACAUUCUGGAAAGUAUAGCCAUAGAGGGUGAUAGUCCCGUAUGCGAAAAACAAACCUUAGCUAGCAGUAUCCUGAGUAGGGCGGGACACGAGAAAUCCUGUCUGAAGCUGGGUCGACCACGAUCCAACCCUAAAUACUAAUACCAGAUCGAUAGUGCACAAGUACCGUGAGGGAAAGGUGAAAAGAACUGAGGUGAUCAGAGUGAAAUAGAACCUGAAACCAUUUGCUUACAAUCAUUCAGAGCCCUAUGUAGCAAUACAGGGUGAUGGACUGCCUUUUGCAUAAUGAGCCUGCGAGUUGUGGUGUCUGGCAAGGUUAAGCAAACGCGAAGCCGUAGCGAAAGCGAGUCUGAAUAGGGCGCUUAGUCAGAUGCUGCAGACCCGAAACGAAGUGAUCUAUCCAUGAGCAAGUUGAAGCUAGUGUAAGAACUAGUGGAGGACUGAACCCAUAGGCGUUGAAAAGCCCCGGGAUGACUUGUGGAUAGGGGUGAAAGGCCAAUCAAACUUCGUGAUAGCUGGUUCUCUCCGAAAUAUAUUUAGGUAUAGCGUUGUGUCGUAAUAUAAGGGGGUAGAGCACUGAAUGGGCUAGGGCAUACACCAAUGUACCAAACCCUAUCAAACUCCGAAUACCUUAUAUGUAAUCACAGCAGUCAGGCGGCGAGUGAUAAAAUCCGUCGUCAAGAGGGAAACAACCCAGACUACCAGCUAAGGUCCCUAAAUCUUACUUAAGUGGAAAACGAUGUGAAGUUACUUAAACAACCAGGAGGUUGGCUUAGAAGCAGCCAUCCUUUAAAGAAAGCGUAAUAGCUCACUGGUCUAGUGAUUUUGCGCGGAAAAUAUAACGGGGCUAAAGUAAGUACCGAAGCUGUAGACUUGCGCACAACUUAGAUUAUUUAAGUUUAGAAUAUGAGAAACUAAGUUAUAUGUUUAGUUAUAUUUUUACUGAUUUUUAUAGAGUAAAGAUAGAAAUAAAACUUAGUAAAAUCAGUAAAAAUAUUCUUAGACUAAAGUUAAGUAGUUUAAGUUGUGUGCAAGUGGUAGGAGAGCGUUCUAUUUGCGUCGAAGGUAUACCGGUAAGGAGUGCUGGAGCGAAUAGAAGUGAGCAUGCAGGCAUGAGUAGCGAUAAUUAAUGUGAGAAUCAUUAACGCCGUAAACCCAAGGUUUCCUACGCGAUGCUCGUCAUCGUAGGGUUAGUCGGGUCCUAAGUCGAGUCCGAAAGGGGUAGACGAUGGCAAAUUGGUUAAUAUUCCAAUACCAACAUUAGUGUGCGAUGGAAGGAC
rnacentral:rRNA from 1 species